GACGUACGCUGGCGGCGUGCUUAACACAUGCAAGUCGAACGGAAAGGCCCUGCUUUUGUGGGGUGCUCGAGUGGCGAACGGGUGAGUAACACGUGAGUAACCUGCCCUUGACUUUGGGAUAACUUCAGGAAACUGGGGCUAAUACCGGAUAGGAGCUCCUGCUGCAUGGUGGGGGUUGGAAAGUUUCGGCGGUUGGGGAUGGACUCGCGGCUUAUCAGCUUGUUGGUGGGGUAGUGGCUUACCAAGGCUUUGACGGGUAGCCGGCCUGAGAGGGUGACCGGCCACAUUGGGACUGAGAUACGGCCCAGACUCCUACGGGAGGCAGCAGUGGGGAAUAUUGCACAAUGGGCGGAAGCCUGAUGCAGCAACGCCGCGUGCGGGAUGACGGCCUUCGGGUUGUAAACCGCUUUCGCCUGUGACGAAGCGUGAGUGACGGUAAUGGGUAAAGAAGUACCGGCUAACUACGUG
rnacentral:rRNA from 1 species